rnacentral:rRNA from 1 species
UAGAUGCUUUCAGGAUUAUGGUGUCGAAGCUUAUAUAGCCGUCAUUCAUGAGUACACUAAACAUGUACAAGUGUUUGAAUGGGUUUAUAUAAGUGGAGCCGUACCUGUUGGUUUGUCCCAUUAUAAGGACACUAGCUUUUAAAUGGACAAAUU